UGUGUUUAGUAGCAUUUUUUUUAUGUCAUAUCGAAAAAUUUAUUUUUCAUUGCAAUUGCAUUAAAAUUCUGUAUUGACAAUGGGUGGACGAAAAAGAAACGGAGUUGGUACUUUAUGUGGAUCGAGACCGAAAAGACGUAAAGUGGGCAAACUUCCAGAAGAAAGUGGAAUAUUAGCCAUAAUGCAGUGGCGGAUUAUCAUACAAUAUUUGACGAACAACUGGAAAUUUUUCCAUGAAGGUGAUGGUAUCCACAUAAUUGAAGGAUGCUUGUUUACUUUGUUGCGCAAAUAUAAAGAAGACAAAGACAUGGUGCCCGAAUUUCGAGACAUAGUCGAGGCAUUGGACGGAGACAAUCGGUUCGCAUGGCCCAAUAAUGAUUAUUUUGGGAAUCUUAUGAAAUAUUUAUUCCAACAACAUGCACGAAAUGCCAUAACCAACCUCACCACAUGACAAACGACUUCGUGACUACCUGAGAUAGUUUGUGUGGGAACACAACUUCGACAAUCUGGAUCCAAACGACGUAUUUGAUGAUCAUGAUGUCAACAAUGCAGUGAAGUGAACCAUUGAUAGAUACGAUUCAACCAGAGGUGAUGCGAUUAGAUUUGACAAACGGAAUCGGUUGCUCACUUGUGUGCGAAAUAUUGGCGAACCAGAAGACGACAACAUCGCAGAAGAUACAAAAGAGAAUUGGUUCACAAUGUUGCACAUGCAGAAAAAGAUCUAUGAUUAUCACAAUUGGUUACAAAACAGCCCCGAAAAUAUUCCGACUGACAUUGAGCUUCCCAUAAACAAAAAUCUUUCGGUAUUAGCAAUUUGCACACAUUUGCGAAAGAAUAUUAAAAUUGAUGCCGAUAUAUUGUAUCAAAUGAUGUGUGAAACCAAAAUCAUCCCAUUAGAUGAGUAUGGGCGGCAAGUUGAUGUCACGCAUGUCUGUGAAAACAAGGUUCAUUUAUGAACAAAAUCAAUGGAAUAUUGAAUGCGAACAAAGAAAUACAUUAUCAUGUUGAAACCGGUGGUGUGUCAGCAUCGAUUUUAUAUAUAUUUUCGCGAUACGUCAUACAUUGGAACAGUUGGUGAGCGAUGAACUGAUAAAAAAGCGUUACGAGGAUGGCUUUUACAUCUACGAAUUUGGAAUCAAUCCGGGCAUGAACACGUGAGACGCGACCGUUAUACGGCAUAUCGACUCCGGCAAAGAGAUGAAUUUCAAGACCAGCAGUUUGUCGCCUUCGAACAAAACGAUCGAAAUGAUAGAACCCGUUAUCCGCAAAUGCCGAGUCCAAAAGGAGAAAAUUGAAGAGACUAUUUAAGCCAUCGCUUGAGGAUUAUGAAGAAAGCCAUUGACGUGUAUACGAGCGAAAGAUACACUCGUCUACGAUUUGAUAAAUACAUCGGAUCGAAUCGAUCGAGUAUGUGACAAAAUUGCUGCCAUGCUGACAAAUGGUAAGCCUUCCAUAAUUUUCUUCAGAGCGGCGAAUAUCUCACCCAACUCGCCGAUAAAGAUUAAGAGGAAUAUUCGCUGCCCUGAUUAAAAGUUUUAAGAAAAUACUGGGCAAUGUGGUGAAAAUGGUAAACGAGUUCCGAACGUCAUGAAUGUGUGCACGCUGUUUCGAACCCUUUGGUAACAUGUAACAUUGGGUCAUCGUUUCAAAAUGUGCGAUUGGUGUGUGACAGAUAACAACGACUGGCCAGAAGAAUUGAAACUACCCGAAAAAAUCGUGACGAUGAAGAGCAAACGAAUGCUGCGCGAUGCAAUGGUUGCGAAUCCAAAUCAAGCUGUCGGUUUUGUGUCAAAAGUCAUUUGUUACCGAAAAAACUGGCGUCAAAACGAGACAUACGAUGCGGUUAAGUGCGUUUCUCAGCUACCAAGCAUUAUUCGCGACGAAAAUGUCAUCGAUUUUACUGUAAAUUACAUGCCUCUUGAUGAUAACUUCUAUGUCGCCGAAGAGGAAGCUAUCCUGAACACUAUUUGGCACCGGGACAUUGCAGCUGCAAAGCUGAUACUGUACAAAGCCAUUGUGGACUCUUCGGAUUUGAUCUGCAUCGUAACUUCCAUGUUGAACGCCUCGUCCUUCCAAGAUGGAUUCGAAUCCACUAACGAGAUAGAAUUAAGAUCGAUGAAUUUAAAAUUUGAAACUAAUUAAUGUAAUUGGAUAUUUAUUAUAUCUAUUGAAAAUA